GAUGAACGCUGGCGGCGUGCUUAACACAUGCAAGUCGAACGGAGUUAACAUGUGAGCGGAGAGUGCUUGCACUUAACAAUCUUUUGUUAACUUAGUGGCGGACGGGUGAGUAACGCGUGGGUAACCUGCCUCAUACAGGGGGAUAACACUUAGAAAUAGGUGCUAAUACCGCAUAAGCGCACAGUAUCGCAUGAUACAGUGUGAAAAACUCCGGUGGUAUGAGAUGGACCCGCGUCUGAUUAGCUAGUUGGUGAGGUAACGGCCCACCAAGGCAACGAUCAGUAGCCGGCCUGAGAGGGUGAACGGCCACAUUGGGACUGAGACACGGCCCAA
rnacentral:rRNA from 1 species